CUUCCCCGCCGACUUCUGGGGCUCUCGGGACGCGGUGCCGCCCCAGAGGCGUCCUCGGCCCGCGAGUUCUGCUGGGAGCGGGGAGGCCCCGGCGUCUCAGGUGAGUCCCCGGUUCCCUAGACCGGCCGGACACCCGAAGGCCGCACUCACCUGGCGGGGGCCUCAGACGCCUGGCGGCCUCGCCCGCCUCCCUAGACGGAGGGCUCGCCCGUGUGCGGGGUCCCAGGGAGAAGAAGCUGCGGGGAAGACAGUGGGUCGCCCGGGACCAAGCCUGGCUGAAGGGACACAUUGAGCGGGGCAAAGGCAUGUGGCGCAUCAGCCGGGCUCACGAGCGUGUACCCGAGAAACCACCGCACGGAGCCCAUGGCGGAGGCCGCGGCCCAUGCUGGGAGGCAGGCCGUGCAGGUGAACCCCCAGGCCGCGCAGGUGAACCCCCAGGCCGCGCAGGUGAACCCCCAGGCCGUGCAGGUGAACCCCCAGGCCGCGCAGGUGAACCCCCAGGCCGUGCAGGUGAACCCCCAGGCCGUCCGCUUAGCCUCGCUGCGAUCUUGGGCAAAUGACUGUGGUGGCUGAGGGCAGGCGCCCCACCUGCAAAAUGCGGGGAACAGUGGCAUCUACCCCGUCGGGCUGAUUUGAGGAUGAGGUCAGCUUUUGCUGUACAAUAAGCUGUCCGUAAACGUUCGUUUUUAUGAGCCCAGGGCCUGCCGUGUGGUAGGUGUUCACUAGACGAUGUACACUCUUAAAAGCACCCACUGAGCUGGGACCAGCAGUAGAAAGUCAGCUGAAUCAUCCUCACCCCUGCUUCCUGGAGCAGCCUGGUAUCCAGUGGAUAAUGAUUUGAAGCACCCUGGAGAUGGAUGGAAAUGUUCACACCAUAAUCAAGGAAUUAUGAAGGGUGUGAGUCACCCCUAAUGGAGGUGGGAGAACAGGAGGCGUGGUGGGAGGCCCCAUCCCAACAGGCCACAUCCAUGUUCACAAGGGCUCCUGCCAAGGGCCCAUCUUGGAACCUGGAGAUCAACGUCCCACAUGGCCUUCGCUUUGCUACACUAGAUGUAACUUCACCUCCCUGCGUUCCCCUGGCAAGUGGGGUCAGCUGCUUGGGCCGUCACUCCAGGCCUGCCCACACUGCAGAAGACAGCCACCGUGUGUCCCUCCUACAGAUGGACUGGAUGCUCACCAGCCCCUGCCAGUGGAGAGACAUGAGGCC
rnacentral:lncRNA from 1 species